rnacentral:rRNA from 1 species
CGGCGGCAGGCUACCAUGCAGUCGAGGGGCAACAGGUGUAGCAAUACAUGCUGGCGACCGGCGCACGGGUGAGUAACGCGUAUGCAACCUACCCAUAACAAGGGGAUAGCUUCCGGAAACGGGAAUUAAUACCCUAUAGCACCUAUAUACCGCAUGGUAUUAAGGUUAAAACUACGGUGGUUAUGGAUGGGCAUGCGUGCCAUUAGUUAGUUGGCGGGGUAACGGCCCACCAAGACUGUGAUGGCUAGGGGGUCUAAAAGGAUGAUCCCCCACACUGGUACUGAGACACGGACCAGACUCCUACGGGAGGCAGCAGUGAGGAAUAUUGGUCAAUGGGCGAGAGCCUGAACCAGCCAUGCCGCGUGCAGGAAGACGGCCCUAUGGGUUGUAAACUGCUUUUGUUUGGGAAUAAAAGGCGCUACGUGUAGUGCACUGAAGGUACCAGAUGAAUAAGCAUCGGCUAACUCCGUGCCAGCAGCCGCGGUAAUACGGAGGAUGCGAGCGUUAUCCGGAUUUAUUAGGUUUAAAGGGUGUGUAGGCGGAAGACUAAGUCAGUGGUGAAAUCCCUCAGCUUAACUGGGGAACUGCCAUAGAUACUGGUUUUCUUGAGUACAGUUGAAGUAGGCGGAAUGUGUAAUGUAGCGGUGAAAUGCUUAGAUAUUACACAGAACACCGAUUGCGAAGGCAGCUUGCUAAGCUGUUACUGACGCUGAUGCACGAAAGCGUGGGGAGCGAACAGGAUUAGAUACCCUGGUAGUCCACGCCGUAAACGAUGAUUACUCGUUGUUGGCGAUAUAUAGUCAGCGACUGAGCGAAAGCAUUAAGUAAUCCACCUGGGGAGUACGGCGGCAACGCUGAAACUCAAAGGAAUUGACGG